GAUGAACGCUAGUUACAGGCUUAACACAUGCAAGUCGAGGGGAAACGCCAUUGAAGCUUGCUUCGAUGGUCGUCGACCGGCGCACGGGUGAGUAACGCGUAUCCAACCUGCCUCUGACCAAGGGAUAACCCGUCGAAAGUCGGCCUAAUACCUUAUGCAGUCGUCGGAAGUCAUCUGAUGACGACGAAAGAUUUCAUCGGUGAGAGAUGGGGAUGCGUCUGAUUAGCUUGUUGGCGGGGUAACGGCCCACCAAGGCAACGAUCAGUAGGGGUUCUGAGAGGAAGGUCCCCCACAUUGGAACUGAGACACGGUCCAAACUCCUACGGGAGGCAGCAGUGAGGAAUAUUGGUCAAUGGGCGAGAGCCUGAACCAGCCAAGUAGCGUGCAGGAUGACGGCCCUAUGGGUUGUAAACUGCUUUUAUGCGGGGAUAAAGUGAGGGACGUGUCCUUCAUUGCAGGUACCGCAUGAAUAAGGACCGGCUAAUUCCGUG
rnacentral:rRNA from 1 species